rnacentral:rRNA from 1 species
UGGGGAAUAUUGGACAAUGGGGGGAACCCUGAUCCAGCAAUGCCGCGUGUGUGAAGAAGGCCUGAGGGUUGUAAAGCACUUUCAGUGGGGAGGAGGUUGAUUUGGUUAAGAGCUGGAUUAAUGGACGUUACCCACAGAAGAAGCACCGGCUAACUCCGUGCCAGCAGCCGCGGUAAUACGGAGGGUGCGAGCGUUAAUCGGAAUUACUGGGCGUAAAGGGUGCGUAGGUUGUUUUUUAAGUUAGCUGUAAAAUCCCUGGGCUCAACCUGGGCAUGUCAGCUAAGACUGGAAGACUGGAGUAUGGGAGAGGGUAGUGGAAUUUCCGGUGUAGCGGUGAAAUGCGUAGAGAUCGGAAGGAACACCGGUGGCGAAGGCGGCUACCUGGCCUAAUACUGACACUGAGGCACGAAAGCGUGGGGAGCAAACAGGAUUAGAUACCCGCGUAGUCC